CAGUACGAGACCAAGGAGAACAAGAGGCUGCUGGAGAAGUCGCAGCGGGUGGAAGCCAUCCUGGCGUCCAUGCAGGCCACCGGCGCCGAGGAAGCCCAACUGCAGGAGAUCGAGGAGAUGAUCACGGCCCCCGAGCGCCAGCAGCUGGAGAACCUCAAACGCAACGUCAACAAGAUCGACGCCAGCGAGAACCAGGUGGACGAGACCAUCUUUGUG